UCGCGUAUUCUGUCAUCGAUUAUGUAAUCACAGUAACUUUGGCAAUUUCAUUCUAUGUUGCAUAAUGUUUUCAUCUGCUAUGCUAGCAGCGGAAAAUCCUUUAAAAGCUGACGCUAGUAGGAAUAUUGUGCUGAAUAAAUUCGACUAUUUCUUUACGGCUGUCUUCACAAUAGAACUGGUGUUAAAAUUGAUUUCAUACGGAUUUGUACUUCACGAUGGCGCUUUCUGUAGAUCUGCUUUUAAUUUAUUGGAUCUACUAGUCGUGUGUGUCUCUCUAAUAUCAAUUUUCUUCAAUUCGAAUGCGAUUUCAGUCGUGAAAAUUCUAAGAGUCCUACGUGUAUUACGACCAUUAAGAGCAAUAAACAGAGCAAAAGGUUUAAAGG